CCUACGGGAGGCUGCAGUGGGGAAUUUUGGACAAUGGGCGCAAGCCUGAUCCAGCUAUUCCGCGUGUGGGAUGAAGGCCCUCGGGUUGUAAACCACUUUUGUAGAGAACGAAAAGACACCUUUUAAUAAAGGGUGUUGCUGACGGUACUCUAAGAAUAAGCACCGGCUAACUACGUGCCAGCAGCCGCGGCAAUACGUAGGGUGCGAGCGGUAAUCGGAAUUACUGGGCGUAAGGGGUGCGCAGGCGGUUGAGUAAGACAGAUGUGAAAGCCGCGGGCUUAACUCGGGAAUGGCAUGUGUGGCUGGUGGACGAGAGUGGGUGAGAGGGAGGUGGAAUUCGACGUGUAGCAGUGAAAUGCGUAGAUAUGUGGAAGAACACCGAUGGCGAAGGCAGCCUCCUGGGACAUAACUGACGCUGAGGCACGAAAGCGUGGGGAGCAAACAGGAUUAGAUACCCGUGUAGUC
rnacentral:rRNA from 1 species